ensembl:lncRNA
GUUCACAAGGAUGAGCGGAGCUUUAUAGAGAGAUGUUUUUAAAGUAAUACAUGACUGCAAGGGGGUGGGGAGCGGGAGGCAAACACGUUAUUGAAAACACCAAAUAAAAUAUAUAUCAAAAAUUCCAACUGUCAGCCAGCAGGUUGGAACAGAAAGAGAACCCCUUUGCCUUUGUCCUAGCGAUGCUGGGUUCAGGGCUGUGUCUGCAGGGCCGCAACCAAACUCCUUGAAUAACAAUUUCUACUCUGGGAGGCUUGGAGAAGAGAGCUGGACUACAAAAAUUCCCUGUUGCAUUCAGAAACCAAAGAACAGUGAAGCAGAUGGAGAGGGAAGACCUAGUGACCGAGGUGGAGGCCGAGGAGGGAGAGAGAGAGGAAGAAGAAAAUAUUCGGAUCCUAUUUACUUGCUCAGAUUGACCAAGAAUGGACAUCGUGAAUCACCUACAACUUGAUCUUGUGUGUAACUGACUGCACUGCGAUGCUAUUUUAAACUAACAGUUUCAUAAUUACGUGCAACUAGAUUCCUCUGCGGCCCCCAAAGACUCUCCGUGGUGGCCCUCGUCCGCACAGCUUGGAGGGAGUGCUCUUUGAGUUAAGCUGGUUUCUUCUUGUCCUAGUAAAAAAAAAUGAAUGUUGACAACAAGGGUCCUGGCUCUGCACAGGGAAGAAAGUAC